UAAUAUUUAUGCAGAAUUAAUGCAACAUAAGCAUCAUCCAAAUUAGUUUACUAUUCUUGCUAACACGCUGUAUAUGUUCUUUACCUGCGGGUGAGGUGUUGCUCCUGCUGUGGUCUUGGUCUGCAAAGGUGAUCUGGAAUUCUGCACUCUGGUGGGUGUUCUACCCCCAUAAAGCUCCCACAGAUGUGAGGACACUGGCAAGCCCACCGUGGCCCAGGUGUACAGCUGCUCCCCCUGCGUGAAUUUAAAAGAAUAAUUACUUCCACCCCUUUUACCAUGGCAAACGGGCUGCAUGUGACCUGGAAAACUGUCCAAAUUCAGCAGCAUCACGUGCAGGCAAAGAAUGGCCAGACAAAUCCUCACACACUCUCUCUGGAUGCUUGAUCUGUGUCAUCGUGGUCGUCAUUUUGUGGGACAGACCGAUACAGACAAUGGCGGGCAGCUGAGCUCAUCAAAUGAAGCAAGGAUCGGAACAAG